UUGGGUACGAACAAAUUUGUGUACGAAAAAAUUGGGUACAAAAAAAUGUGGGUACGAAAAAAAAAUUGGUUAUGAAAAAAAAUUAGGGUACGAAAAACUAUUUGGGUACGAAAAAAAGGUUCAAAUAAAAAUUUGGGUACAAAAAAAAUUGGGAACAAAACGAAUUUGGGUACGAAAAAAAUUUGAGUACGAACAAAUGGGUUCAAAGAAAUUUGGGUUCGAACAAAUUUGUGUAAAAAAAAAAUUGGGUACGAAAAAAAAUUUGGUUAUGAAAACCUAUAGGGAACGAAAAAAUUAGGGUACAAAAAACUAUUUGGGUACGAAAAAAAAGGGUACAUAUAUAAAUUUGGGUACAAAAAAAAUUGGGUACGAAACAAAUUUGUGCACCGACGGACAGACGAAGCGGCGACUAUAUGCUCCCCCUAAAAAAUUUGGGGGGGAGCAUAAUAAACAAGUUAUGGCAAUUUAAAGGUGGUACGCAAACUUAAUAAUAGAUUUAUCAAUUAUAUGCUUAUUGUAAGUGAAAACAAGGGACAAAAUUGUCACAAAACCAGGUUUUCAUUGUGAAAAAAAAAUCUGAUAAAGGGAGAAAACUCAAACUGAACUUUUGAAAUGACCAAAAAAAAUUAACCCCCUUUGAAAGUUUUUUUUCUUUUUAAAUCUAUUUUUAGUCGUGGCGGCCUUGACAUUGGAGAUAUUGACGUGAUUCUUUCGUGGGACACACCGUCCCAUGAUGGUGAACAAAUGUGCCAAAUGAUUUUAAAAUCUCACAAUGAAUGACAUAGUUAUGGCCAGGACAAGCUCAUUUAUGGCCAUUUUUGAACUUUGAACUCAAAGUGUGACCUUGACCUUGGAGAUAUCGACGUAAUUAUUUCGCGCGACACACCCUCCAAUGAUGGUGAACAAAUGUGCCAAAUGAUUUUAAAAUCUGACGAUGAACGACAUAGUUAUGGCUCGGACAAGCUCAUUUAUGGCCAUUUUUGACCUUUGAACUCAAAGUGUGACCUUGACCUUGGAGAUAUCGACGUAAUUAUUUCGCGCGACACACCGUCCAAUGAUGGUGAACAAAUGUGCCAAAUGAUUUUAAAAUCUGACAAUGAACGACAUAGUUAUGGCCCGGACAUGCUUAUUCCGCCAGCCCGCCAGCCAGCCCGCCCGCAUUCGCCAAUCUAAUAACCAGUUUUUUCCUUCGGAAAACCUGGUUAAAAAGGCCAUAAUUGUUACAAAAUGCUUGAUACAGUUAUCUGCUCUUGUUUAUACAUUGGGGUCAUGUUGGUUAAUAAGCAAAAUACAUGGUGUAUGAACGCAAUAUGUCAAGGGACAUAAAAAAUAUUUGAGGUCAUAUGCAAACUUUAACAUAGAUUUAUCAAUAAUAUGCAUAUUAUUCUAAGUGAAAAAGGGCCUAAUUCUGUUAAAAUGCUUGAUACAGUAAAUGAGUUGUCUGCUCUUGUUUAUAGAUUGGGUUUAUGUCGGUAAUGAAGUAUGCAAAAUAUAAAAGCAAUAUGUCAAUGGACAUAGGAAAUAUAUUUGAGGUGGUACGCAAACAUUCCAAUGCGCAAGCCGACGCCGGGUUGAGUAGGAUAGCUCGACUAUAUAUAUUUCAUAUAUAACAGUCAAGCUAAAAUGUAAAUAUACCAUAAACAACAGGCUAACCUCAAUCACAACUUUAAUGCAAUGCUUAUAACAAUAGAGAUACAAUGAUAUGCCAGGGAUUGAAACUAACUGUUUACUAUUGUGGGCAACCAUCUUUAGUAUUUUGGUUGCCCAGAUAAAGAAUAACGAGCCCAGAAAUAUGAACAUGUGAAUAUUAUACAUUCUUUUAAUAAAAUAAUAGAUAAUUAAAAACAUUUGCUGACAACACAUGUUCAAUGCAUGAUGUUUUAUUAUGAGCCUGAAUUGAAUCAUGUCCUAUUCCUAAAUAAUGAAUGUUAUUUAACUAGUAUUGAUCCAUGGUGAUAAAUUGUUUUUCAAUUUUUAUUGCAGUGAAUUGUUUUAAGCUUUAAAAAAAAGAAGUUUACCAACUUUUGAAAUUGAGUUGCCCAGGCCAAAAUCUACUUGCCCCGGGUUCACGGUAAACCAAUUAUUUCCAUCCCUGUAUGCUCUUCAUUUUCUGUUCUUCCAUCGCAUUCUCAAAAUUAAACUUAAAGCCGAUAUUUUUUAAUAACAUUAGUAUGAAUUACUAACCAUUAUCACCCAAAAAACAAUUUUACAAAGCUGUAAUCCCGUCGUAGAGAUUUAGUUUACUAUUAUCAGUGUUCUCUUUAAAUACCGGCUGCUAGCGAUCUUGCCGGUUACAUUAACUCUUGAUGCCGGCUACUUUUCCCAAAUAUAUCAAGUAAAUGUCACAAAUGCUUUGGUUUUACUGCAUAGUUGCUGGCCAUAUAACUGGCUACUCAAAUUUUUCUGGAAAACACUGAACUAUGCAUGACAAACACAAAAAAAUUAAAUACAUCUUAGAUUCAUUGUAAAAAAUAAAUUGACACUUCCAGCUUGUCGUCACUAAAAUCCAAAGAUUCAAAUAAUUUUCCACGAGAUAUGUCAACAAUUGCGUAAUCAAAUGAAUGAAAAAUAAAAGUAAAGAAAGCCGGAUUUUACAUAAAUUUCAGGUUGAAACACAACAAGGUAAAGGUAGUCGGUGAGAUAUAAUAAUAAUACAGUUAGUAAGGCUCGUACCCUGGGAACGGUAAAUAUACUAAAACAUACCCGGGAAUUUAAACACUAAAUCGGUUGUUGUCGGCUAUUUUGUAAAAAUUAAUUAUGUUUACAUUUAUGUCAAUUUUCUGUUAAAUGGCAUUUAUACAAUGUAUUAUCAAAACUCAUUUUUACAAUCAUUAAUGUGAUUCAAUUUAAAAUCUUAAAUUGUUUAAAGUCGCAUCAUUGUAUGACGUUGUCAAGUAUAUUUUCCGCGAUGUCGCACGUUCACUUUUUACCAUCAUAGAUUUUGUUAAAGAAACAUUUUUUGGUUUGCGAGGUCCGUUAAAUGGGGAACACCAUAUUUGGUAUUUAUAUUAUGUUUUAACAAUUAAUUCAUGCUGUGUAAUAAAUAUUGUAUAAGAUAUUUCGAUAUUUAUUGAAAAUGUUUCAAAUUGUUAUUUAUGAAACCUUUUAUUCUUAUGAGUGUAUGCUAUCAUAUUAUACUUCGAAUAGCAGAUCUGUUGUACUAUAAUCUUAUUAUUCAUUCUUUAUUGUUAAUUUCAUUUAUUGUAGAGAAUCGUCAAUGUUACAUCUAGUCGCCAAUGCUUGUCGUUAGUGUUAGUUUUCAAUGCUUGUUAUCAUUGUUGUCAAUGUUAGUCGUCAAUCCUUAUCGUCAUUAUACAUGAAGGAAAUAAAAGCAGAAACAGAGA